GCUCCUUGUGAGGAGCACUUUGUUCCUGCAGGGUGGAGGCAAGUGAGGAAAGCUGGAUGGUCCCAGCUGACAGACACAUGUAAACUCUGACUUACCGAGGAUGAUCCACCUUCCCUGUCUUUGCUCUGUGCUCUGGAAAAAAAAAACCAGCUGAAACUCUGAGACAACCUUUGCAAGUCCCUUCCCCAGGCUGCAUCUGAAGCCCAUCACAAGGACAGGUGCUACAAGUUCUCUGCAGAAAAUACCUACAAAGAGAUGUCACAUCCUAGACCAAAAGGGACUGUACUUCAGAGGGAGACCUUCAGAACAAAGCCUGCUAAAGGAAUCUCCACAAAUGCUAAGUUUGGUUUCAAAUAUCAAGUUGUCAUUGUCUUCCCCACCAUUCCACCAUCCUACCUCUGUAGUCCAAACAGAGAACAAGAACUUAUUGCUUCUUAAUUCCAGAUUAAAGUCAGUAAACCAUACUCAAGAGAUAAAGGGAGAGUUGAGGCUUUCCCUCAUCAUGGGGAAGAAGGUGAAAAAGAGGAAGAAGUGGUUUGGGGGUUGGCCAGCUACCCCACUCAGCACAAUGGAUUUCUGAAUACAAACCAAAGAAGGGAUUCACUGCAUAAGCAUAGCAAGCCUUCCCUCAGAGGAAAUCACCAAGGGACUGGGUCCACUGUCAUCAGAAGUAACCCCCUGUUGGUCCUGCUACUGCAAGUACGUUAAUCCCAGUGGCUCACAGAUUUUUUCCCUUGGCUCCUGACCUGCAAAGUAAUCUGAAAAGGAGUACUUUGUGCAUUACUGCCUCUGCUUAUUUAUUCACUUAUUUUAAUUUGAAAGAGGAUUUAGUGAUUCGUGGGAGCUGGGGAUCAAUAUCCCUAUCUUGAGCCAAGAACAACUCUGAGCAAGAGCAGUCACGGGAUUCUGUGACUGAUGGCACACCUCAGAACUGACCUCCCACCAGGGCCUGGCUUCCCAGUCACCCUUCGGCCACUGCCCCUGCUAUUCCACAGGCACCCCAGCAUCUCCCUUGGCUGUUUCCUUUCCCUUCUGCACUCAAGUCUUCCUUGAGUAGGGACUAUAAGAUACAAGCCAGAAGGCAAGCACAACAUUUCAGAUUUAUUGGCAUGCCUGCAUCAGACUAUGAUGGUAUCAAGUGGCACAUGAUGGAAGGUGGGGACCAGCAUCUACUUUAGAUGAAGCAAAAGUGAUGUUUGUGAAUGAGAGAGGCAAGAGGUGUGCAGUGUCCCAGCAGUGUCCAAUGGAUGAGGACAAUUAUCACCAGAAGAUGAGACUUCUCUCCCUCCUCAGCAGACAGUGUGAUAGGAAGGAGGCAUGGAUACAGCUGAUCACGUCUCUGGCAAAGCAAGAGUCUGUGUAGGUGUCAUAGAAGAGGAUGAUGUUUCAUUCUUGGAGGCACAUCAGAUAAUUUGACUCCUAUGUCCUAUUUCUCUGAACCUUUACUCUAACCAAGCUUUGCCUGGAUCGGUAAAGCAGCAAUAGGAAUGACCAGCAAUGUUGGUGUUUUUUUUUUUUUGGUAACUUCUAUUUUCUUAUGGUCUGGGAGCCAUCAGCCUCUCAGUUUUAGACCUGCUUUGAUGUACUCUUGAAUGAGCCAUGGAGAACAGCAGGAGCUCUGCUGGCUCAGUGGCAUGCUUGAGCUGAGGGUCUGCCCUCAGGAGUGACAGUCAGUCAUUUGUGCUGGAAGGGCAUGUUAGAGGCUGCUGCUCAGCAUUGCAUUCCUUGCCCAGCCAGAGCAUUUCCAGAUGCAGGAAAGAGUCGUUUCCCAGAACAGCAGCUCUGACUAUGAGCUAAGACCAAGUCAGAAGCAAAACAAGUCAGGGUCCUAUUUAAGCCCUGUCAGAAAUUACCAGCCCUGUUCCAGACAAAGAGGUGACAUUCAGAGUCCUACCACAAGCUGAACUCACUCUGACUCACAAUGGUCUUGGUUCUUUUUAAGUGAAGUUAUGGACUGGUGUAGUUGCAUCAUUGCAGAGCUCUGCAUGGACCUUGUUUUAGCAUCAGAUGGAGUUAGCACAAGACUUUGAGGGUGCUGGGAAAUGAACGCACUGCUGGGGGAUACACCUUGUUUGGGACUGACUCUGCAGACUUCUGUUCUUACCCCGCAAUACUUCAGCCUUGUUCACAAAAACAGGCCUGCAUUCAGCCAAAAUAAGGAUAGCUACAUGCCCUGAGCACCAGUUCACUAAAGCAGCACAGUCAAGGCCAAGGGACAUUGAAAUCCCAGAGACCAAAUGCUUCCUGUCAGAAGGCCUGGAGGCGACCGUCACUUUAGACAGGGUCGUCAAAAAACCACUGUGUCGUGAGGUCUGAAGGGAGUGGAAGCCUGAGACAGAUAUUGAAGGGAAGCCGAAGAGGCAGCAAGCAAAGCACAAGGGCUGGGAUUUGAGGAGAGCACAUUUACUACUGGCUGGACUUGUUACUGUUUCGGUGCAGU